UUUAAAAAACUGGUAGCAGAGAUGGAGUGGGAGUAAGUCCCUCCUUUAUGAAAUUCUCUCUACCAGCCAAUAUUACUUUUGUAAUAUGUGUGAAAAUCCCUAAUGAUUAUUUUUACUCUGCUGUCCUUUGAAUAACAAAAAUAUUCAACCCUGUAUUUUGCUAUUUACAACAGCUGUCAAAAUGGAUUUCCUACUUGUUUGGAGUGUGCAUCAGGAAAAAUUUAUCAGUUUCCUUAACGAUACGUGGUUUUACUCUGCUUAUCAGAGGGGUAGUCCAAGUGUGAUUAGAUCUACUCAUUAGAUUUUCACAAUAAAAAUGGUAUUCCAGCACUUCCACUAUAAUAUGCUUCUCACUGUGUCUUUGUGAAACCCACACGGAAUGAUGAACAACAUGCAGAAAGGAAAACAAGCGUCCCUGAAAUGUAAGUAUUACUUCUUUUAAAAUGAGAUGUUGCAGAUUGGAGGGGACAAACAAUAUUAACUGAGUGUUUUCCUUUUUAUUUUCUAUUCAACUCUGUUGUAAAAAUAACCUUUUUCCAGCACUAUGCAUAUAUGUGCACGGAAGGGCCUUUUCAAAGUAAGUACACAAGAGUUCCGUUUAAUGAUAUGCAAUGAAGCCACAGGGCACUUUGAGAGCGCAGUUAGGAGGACAUACAGUUCAUCAUUUUUCUUGGGGGUUUGUGUCACUGACAAGAAAAGUUGUUCUCCCUCUCUUAUUUUUGUGUGAGUAUAUGAGGUUGCUGGUCAUGGGCAGUUUUAAGUCCUUCUAAAUAUGCAUUUCCUUUAAUUCAUUAAGAGACUUUCGUGUUCCAACAUAUCCAUUACAAUGACAAACUGACACCGUAAAAUUAAAAAGCCUGCAAUUACUUACUUGGUUUGUAUUUUAAUCAAAGCUAUUGUAAUAUGACUCUAGGGAACCAUAAAUGGCAAAACAAAGGGUUUGGGAUUUAUGUGGGACCUCUGUAUACAGAAUGUCUAAGUGAAAGGAGCUAGGGAAGAACACAACUGCUGGAUUUCUUCCCUGUGUCCAGGAAGGAUAGUUUCAAGUGCAGUUUGAGCAGAGCCUAAACCAAAUCUCUGAACAGCUCGGGAUCGCAGAGAUCCAAACAAACUUGUCUGCUUUAUUUUGGCUUUUGGACAUUGAGACCAUCCAACAAAACCAUGUUGGGCCCAUACGUUAUUUUUAUGAAUCAUCAUUCCGUGAAAGACUUCAAGGAAAUAAAAUAACGUAGGAGACAUUUCUGCAUGCCUUGUGGUUGUUAGGCAGGAAGUAAUGGUAUCAUUCGCUUCUUUUAUAAAGUGGACAUGCGUAUGGGUGCAUGUUUGUAUGUAGGCAGGAGAGGAGACAGGUGUACUGGUCCUGAUUUGUGGUUUGUGAUUUCAAGAGGAAUUUUCUCAUUUUGUCUAAAGCAAGUUUGAUUCAUUGCCUGUAUCUCUUAGGCUGCAGAGCCCUGACGUCAAGAAGUGAGCAACGGUGGGUACAGCAAGACAGUGAAGCUUGUUCUUGCAUGCAGUCCUUCUGGGAGAAGGUGCUUCCACUGCACUUUAGUGGAACUGCAUCUCGUGUACUUGCUCAAGGCGUGCAUUUUGGGUGCCCUUCCCUGUGAAGCAGCAGGGACAGCCCAUGUGUUACAAAGAAAUUAUCUCAGAAUUUUUGUAGGAAGCUUACACUUUUCUGUAUUGCCUACAAAAUUUAUACAAGACUGUACAAUUUUGAAGAAAGUUAAAUGAACAAAACUGUUCUGAAGCUGGUAUGGCAGCUGUGCCUUUGAACUUCUUUUUUGUCUCCAGGGUUCACUUGGAAACUACUGUAGAUUUAAUGAGCAUUUGUCACUUGCAUGACAAAGAUAUGAACAGACAUUCUCAUUUUGGACCCAAAUCUGUCUUUACAAAAGAUGGAAUAGAAAAUUCUGUAAUGAAGCCAGUGUUUUGGAGGGGCUCCUCCUUCGUGGAGUUCCCCUGUGGAUCUGAGUGAGAUGCCCCAUGAAUCACCUACAUGCACAGUAACUAACUUGCCCUUCUUUGUGGCUUUCUGAGCACCUGGGGUUUCUAUCUCCUCCUCGAAGAGUUUGCAAAACCCCCGUGGUACAGUAAGUCUAAGAGUUUCACUUUAGAAUUUAACAGAUGCAACACACACAGUUAACCACUGUUUCUUUUAUUGUUCUUCUCAAGCUUGUCACCUGGUGCAUCGACCACCUAGUCAAUAUUUAAGGUAUCAUGAGAGAAACGGGCUUCCUGUAUCUCUGAGCAGAUGCAGGUGCGAAGUUGGCCAGAGUCCAAGUACCAGUCCGUAUGAACUGGGAAUUGUUCUCAUGCUGUCACCUAAAAAGAAACAUCAGCAGUCCUACAUAUUUGUUGUGAACAGUGAUAGUAUAUGUGGCCUUGGCUCUUUACUGCAAAGAGAAACAGCCUCCAAAAUCCAUCCAUCUCUAUCUGACGUUACCUCCUGAAUUUUGUGCAACCUGUGAAGGAUGAUAGAUGAAUACUAAGCUGUCAUUUGGACAACUGCAGCAACUGAUGAGCAAGAGCUGAGUAUUCUGGAAACAAUUCUAGCUUUUGCUACACAUCAACAUAUCCUGUAGUAGAAUAUCAGCAGCCUAUCAGCAGCCAGGGGCAAAAAUGAAAUCUGGAAACACUCAGCAUUUGAGACCUGUAUUUCUGAUGCAAACAGUUCUUUAGAGAUCUUCCAUAAAAUACUGACUUCACCACAUUCUGGUGACUUGCCAUGUCUAGCAGGAUGGGAGUACACAAGGACCAAAACAUGCAUAGAAGCAGAAUAUGUAAGAAUCUGGAUUAAUGAUUUCUGGCAAGGAUCACAUAUCUGCUACCAGAAAGCCCUUGUUAGAAGGUGGUCUGUGCCUGUGGUUUUGAGGUCCAUAUCCCAUGGUCCUGGGGUAGGACCAUAGGCAGAGCGCUCCUUGCGGAGCCUGUGCAGUCUGCACCGAGGAUGGGUUGAUUUUCUGUGCUCACCUGUCUCUGGAUGGAUGAACAGGUCAUUCAGCUGGUAAGAGUCCAUGGGAUCUGCAUGGAUGUGACUUGGUUGCUCCGCUGAAGAAGACCUUCUGCCAGUGUUUCAUUUCCUCUCUGCUUUUCACCACUGCAGCUAAGUACA